GGCAGGAGGGAGGGAGAGUUCCCUGUCACUGUGGGAGGUGCUGAAUGGCACUGGGCAGAAAUAACAGAGUCAGGGUCCACCCUUUGCAUAGGUUGUGUCCGUGCGGAUGUCCCAUGGAUGGUCAUUGGCCCACCCUCCAUCCUGUGCCUCGCAAGAACCCAGGCACAGGGCAGUUCUAUCAGUGGGGCAGAUCAGCCUGCCCUGAGCUUUGGCCGCGGUGGGGAAGCUUGUUUUUAGAUUUUUCUUCGAAGACACUCUUUUGGAGCCAUAGCAACAGAGGAGCGUGAGUUUGGCCUCGGCUCAGGUCAUAGGUGGAAGUUUCUGCUGCCCUUCGGCGCUCCAGGGCACCGUGGUGAGGACAGUGGAUCCUGCGGCCCCCAGGCUUCAUCCUCCCCUUUCUUUUGUUUCAAGGAGGGGCUCCGUGGCUCAGGGGGUUUGAAAAGCACCGUUUUCGAGAUGGGUGUCAUGAAGAGGGUGCCCAGAAAAAACGUCCUGGCAUUUGAUUCUCACAGGCUCUCUGGAAGGUUCCCAUUUCGGGAAGGAGCAUGCUGAGGCCUGGAGUCUGGUCACGGUCACGUCACCCCAGGGAGGCACUGAGCUGGGACUUGGAUUCCAGUCUCUCUUGACCAAGGCCUGCCGCGUUUCCACUCCGUGAC
rnacentral:lncRNA from 1 species